rnacentral:rRNA from 1 species
AUUGAACGCUGGCGGCAGGCCUAACACAUGCAAGUCGAACGGUAACAGGAAGAAGCUUGCUUCUUUGCUGACGAGUGGCGGACGGGUGAGUAAUGUCUGGGAAACUGCCUGAUGGAGGGGGAUAACUACUGGAAACGGUAGCUAAUACCGCAUAACGUCGCAAGACCAAAAAGGGGGACCUUCGGGCCUCUUGCCAUCGGAUGUGCCCAGAUGGGAUUAGCUAGUAGGUGGGGUAACGGCUCACCUAGGCGACGAUCCCUAGCUGGUCUGAGAGGAUGACCAGCCACACUGGAACUGAGACACGGUCCAGACUCCUACGGGAGGCAGCAGUGGGGAAUAUUGCACAAUAGGCGCAAGCCUGAUGCAGCCAUGCCGCGUGUAUGAAGAAGGCCUUCGGGUUGUAAAGUACUUUCAGCGGGGAGGAAGGGAGUAAAGUUAAUACCUUUGCUCAUUGACGUUACCCGCAGAAGAAGCACCGGCUAACUCCGUG